AAUCCAUAGGUUAAUGAGGCGAACCGGGGGAACUGAAACAUCUAAGUACCCCGAGGAAAAGAAAUCAACCGAGAUUCCCCCAGUAGCGGCGAGCGAACGGGGAGGAGCCCAGAGCCUGAAUCAGCAUGUGUGUUAGUGGAAGCGUCUGGAAAGGCGCGCGAUACAGGGUGACAGCCCCGUACACAAAAGCGCAUGUGCUGUGAGCUCGAUGAGUAGGGCGGGACACGUGGUAUCCUGUCUGAAUAUGGGGGGACCAUCCUCCAAGGCUAAAUACUCCUGACUGACCGAUAGUGAACCAGUACCGUGAGGGAAAGGCGAAAAGAACCCCGGCGAGGGGAGUGAAAAAGAACCUGAAACCGUGUACGUACAAGCAGUGGGAGCACAGGUUUACCUGUGUGACUGCGUACCUUUUGUAUAAUGGGUCAGCGACUUAUAUUCUGUAGCAAGGUUAACCGAAUAGGGGAGCCGGAGGGAAACCGAGUCUUAACCGGGCGUUAAGUUGCAGGGUAUAGACCCGAAACCCGGUGAUCUAGCCAUGGGCAGGUUGAAGGUUGGGUAACACUAACUGGAGGACCGAACCGACUAAUGUUGAAAAAUUAGCGGAUGACCUGUGGCUGGGGGUGAAAGGCCAAUCAAACCGGGAGAUAGCUGGUUCUCCCCGAAAGCUAUUUAGGUAGCGCCUCGUGAAUUCAUCUCCGGGGGUAGAGCACUGUUUCGGCUAGGGGGCCAUCCCGGCUUACCAACCCGAUGCAAACUGCGAAUACCGGAGAAUGUUAUCACGGGAGACACACGGCGGGUGCUAACGUCCGUCGUGAAGAGGGAAACAACCCAGACCGCCAGCUAAGGUCCCAAAGUCAUGGUUAAGUGGGAAACGAUGUGGGAAGGCCCAGACAGCCAGGAUGUUGGCUUAGAAGCAGCCAUCAUUUAAAGAAAGCGUAAUAGCUCACUGGUCGAGUCGGCCUGCGCGGAAGAUGUAACGGGGCUAAACCAUGCACCGAAGCUGCGGCAGCGACGCUGAUGCGUUGUUGGGUAGGGGAGCGUUCUGUAAGCCUGUGAAGGUGGCCUGUGAGGGUUGCUGGAGGUAUCAGAAGUGCGAAUGCUGACAUAAGUAACGAUAAAGCGGGUGAAAAGCCCGCUCGCCGGAAGACCAAGGGUUCCUGUCCAACGUUAAUCGGGGCAGGGUGAGUCGACCCCUAAGGCGAGGCCGAAAGGCGUAGUCGAUGGGAAACGGGUUAAUAUUCCCGUACUUGGUGUUACUG
rnacentral:rRNA from 1 species